AGGCAGUGUAACGUUAGCUGGUUGUGGUUGUAUAUGUUACCAGUUAACUUGCUGCUGCCCUC
rnacentral:pre_miRNA from 1 species